AUUCUCAACCCCCAGUCAUCUGCCACAGCAGACGUGACAACAAUAAAUUCAAAAUGCCUUCCUGCUUCAAGAUUCGUUUUCAUGCCAUCAUUCACCUCCAGUCAGACGCCUGCCACCUUGGAUCAUUACCCCCCUAUUCACCACCACUGCUGCCCCCCUCAGAGCCUCUUCCUCACUUGCCUGCCUGCCCACCCUUCAGCAGUUUCCACAGACCUCUGCCUUCAUCCUUUACUCCCACCUAGUCUGGACUCCAAAUCUGUUGCCCUCACGCUGUUAUGUCCGCUCCUCUGGCCUGUCUCUCUCACCUCAGUUAAGAUGUUUUUGUAGGACUCGCUCCUUAAGUUUAGGUUCAUUUAUGUUUUGUUCUUGUUGGCC